CCUACGGGAGGCAGCAGUGGGGAAUAUUGCACAAUGGGGGGAACCCUGAUGCAGCAAUGCCGCGUGGGUGAAGAAGCACUCCGGUGCGUAAAGCCCUGUCAGCAGGGAAGAAAAUGACAGUACCUGGACAAGAAGCCCCGGCUAACUACGUGCCAGCAGCCGCGGUAAUACGGAGGAUGCGAGCGGUAUCCGGAUUUAUUGGGUUUAAAGGGUGCGUAGGCGGAAUAUCAAGUCAGCGGUAAAAAUUCGGGGCUCAACCCCGUCGUGCCGUUGAAACUGAUGUUCUUGAGUGGGCGAGAAGUAUGCGGAAUGCGUGGUGUAGCGGUGAAAUGCAGAGAUAUCACGCAGAACUCCGAUUGCGAAGGCAGCAUACCGGCGCCCAACUGACGCUGAAGCACGAAAGCGUGGGUAUCGAACAGGAUUAGAUACCCCUGUAGUC
rnacentral:rRNA from 1 species